GCAUAGCUCAAUUGGUAGAGCGUAAGACUCUUAAUCUCAGGGUUGUGGGUUUGAGUCCCACAUUGGGCA